rnacentral:rRNA from 1 species
GCGUGCUUAACACAUGCAAGUCGAACGGAAAGGCCCUGCUUUUGUGGGGUGCUCGAGUGGCGAACGGGUGAGUAACACGUGAGUAACCUGCCCUUGACUUUGGGAUAACUUCAGGAAACUGGGGCUAAUACCGGAUAGGAGCUCCUGCUGCAUGGUGGGGGUUGGAAAGUUUCGGCGGUUGGGGAUGGACUCGCGGCUUAUCAGCUUGUUGGUGGGGUAGUGGCUUACCAAGGCUUUGACGGGUAGCCGGCCUGAGAGGGUGACCGGCCACAUUGGGACUGAGAUACGGCCCAGACUCCUACGGGAGGCAGCAGUGGGGAAUAUUGCACAAUGGGCGGAAGCCUGAUGCAGCAACGCCGCGUGCGGGAUGACGGCCUUCGGGUUGUAAACCGCUUUCGCCUGUGACGAAGCGUGAGUGACGGUAAUGGGUAAAGAAGCACCGGCUAACUACGUGCCAGCAGCCGCGGUGAUACGUAGGGUGCGAGCGUUGUCCGGAUUUAUUGGGCGUAAAGGGCUCGUAGGUGGUUGAUCGCGUCGGAAGUGUAAUCUUGGGGCUUAACCCUGAGCGUGCUUUCGAUACGGGUUGACUUGAGGAAGGUAGGGGAGAAUGGAAUUCCUGGUGGAGCGGUGGAAUGCGCAGAUAUCAGGAGGAACACCAGUGGCGAAGGCGGUUCUCUGGGCCUUUCCUGACGCUGAGGAGCGAAAGCGUGGGGAGCGAACAGGCUUAGAUACCCUGGUAGUCCACGCUGUAAACGGUGGGUACUAGGUGUGGGGUCCAUUCCACGGGUUCCGUGCCGUAGCUAACGCUUUAAGUACCCCGCCUGGGGAGUACGGCCGCAAGGCUAAAACUCAAAGGAAUUGACGGGGCCCCGCACAAGCGGCGGAGCAUGCGGAUUAAUUCGAUGCAACGCGUAGAACCUUACCUGGGUUUGACAUGGAUCGGGAGUGCUCAGAGAUGGGUGUGCCUCUUUUGGGGUCGGUUCACAGGUGGUGCAUGGCUGUCGUCAGCUCGUGUCGUGAGAUGUUGGGUUAAGUCCCGCAACGAGCGCAACCCUUGUUCACUGUUGCCAGCACGUUAUGGUGGGGACUCAGUGGAGACCGCCGGGGUCAACUCGGAGGAAGGUGGGGAUGACGUCAAGUCAUCAUGCCCCUUAUGUCCAGGGCUUCACGCAUGCUACAAUGGCUGGUACAGAGAGUGGCGAGCCUGUGAGGGUGAGCGAAUCUCGGAAAGCCGGUCUCAGUUCGGAUUGGGGUCUGCAACUCGACCUCAUGAAGUCGGAGUCGCUAGUAAUCGCAGAUCAGCAACGCUGCGGUGAAUACGUUCCCGGGGCUUGUACACACCGCCCGUCAAGUCAUGAAAGUUGGUAACACCCGAAGCCGGUGGCCUAACCGUUGUGGGGGAGCCGUCGAAGGUGGGACUGGUGAUUAGGACUAAGACAUA